CAGAGUUGGGAGUGCUCCGACAAGACCCUUCGAUGCUCACGUCAGUACUCUGCUUCAAUAAAAAUGGAGUGCUCGAGCAGAAAUUUUAGCAGAGUUUCGAGAUAGAGUUUAGAGCUUAGAGAAGAACGUAUCUGGGGGUCUCUUUUUAUAGAUGGAGAGCGUAACUGAUUGACAGCGACAUCUAUUACCGCUUGGUAGUGAGCCAUUCAGAGCCACACAGAGUUUGUUACGAAGAGUGGAGGGGUGUCCAUUGUCGUGACUUGCCA
rnacentral:lncRNA from 1 species